rnacentral:rRNA from 1 species
UGCCAGCCGCCGCGGUAAUACCGGCAGCCCGAGUGAUGACCGAUCUUAUUGGGCCUAAAGCGUCCGUAGCUGGCUGCGCAAGUCCGUCGGGAAAUCCACUCGCCCAACGAGUGGGCGUCCGACGGAAACUGCACAGCUUGGGACCGGAAGGCUCGAAGGGUACGUGCGGGGUAGGAGUGAAAUCCCAUAAUCCCGCACGGACCACCGAUGGCGAAAGCACUUCGAGAAAACGGAUCCGACAGUGAGGGACGAAAGCCAGGGUCUCCAACCGGAUUAGAUA